UCCUUUCAACAGGCAAGCUUUUUGCUUGGAUUAUGUUUUCUGUUGUUGUAUAAGACGAGCAUAAAGCUUGUUUGUUAGAAG
ensembl:miRNA xtr-mir-208 xtr-mir-208